CCUGGUUAGGAUUGGAGAAGAGAAGAAGGGUGUUUGUUUCUGGCACUGUACUAGAGAAGACCCUGAGGGUGCUGGUCCUGAAAUAGGGCUGGAGACAAAAGGGGCCUAGUAAGAAGAGGCCUAGCAGGGAAAUAGAGGUGAUGGACUGGAAUAGAUAUCAACACUAAACAAAUCCACUGUUCAAAGAAUUGAUUGAACCCCUUUAAGUCUGAACAAUUGACUGCUGCUGGAGUUAUUUAUGAUAUCAUCAGAAGGGGUGGAGCUGCUUCUUGAAAGAACCAGGAAAAAAGGGAGAAAAUUAGAAGGGGAUGCCAAAAAGAGACUUAACAUUGCACUGACGUUGACUGUAAAUUCAAUUACUCUGUUUUUAAAGAAAGAAAGAGACCUCAAGAAAAAAGAAAAUGCAAUACUUAAACAAACCUGUACUGUUAAGCCACAUUUUAUUCCAGUAGACAUGAUUCUAUAUGAAAGAUUUUUCAUGUGAUAUCUCAUCUGCAGGAACAAACUUUUAUUUAAACUGCAUUUACAUGUCUUGCCAAAUUUUAAAGUAACAAAUUAUUUUCCAAAAUAUCUUUCAUGCAAAAUUGUGUUCUAGCAUAGAAAAUAGAGCAAAAUGUGUAAGUGUGAUUAAAAAAUAUUGUGUACUGUGGCAGAUAUGAUUUUUUUCAUGAAAGAUUUCCAUGUGAAAUUGUGUUUGCUCUUAUGGACCAUAAUAUGGUGCUGGUUUUGUAAGUGCAGGCAUGACUCGUU